rnacentral:rRNA from 1 species
CCUACGGGAGGCUGCAGUGGGGAAUAUUGGACAAUGGGGGCAACCCUGAUCCAGCCAUGCCGCGUGUGUGAAGAAGGCCCUCGGGUUGUAAAGCACUUUCAGUGAGGAAGAACGCCUAGUGGUUAAUACCCAUCAGGAAAGACAUCACUCACAGAAGAAGCACCGGCUAACUCCGUGCCAGCAGCCGCGGUAAUACGGAGGGUGCGAGCGUUAAUCGGAAUUACUGGGCGUAAAGCGCGCGUAGGUGGCUUGAUAAGCCGGUUGUGAAAGCCCCGGGCUCAACCUGGGAACGGCAUCCGGAACUGUCAAGCUAGAGUGCAGGAGAGGAAGGUAGAAUUCCCGGUGUAGCGGUGAAAUGCGUAGAGAUCGGGAGGAAUACCAGUGGCGAAGGCGGCCUUCUGGACUGACACUGACACUGAGGUGCGAAAGCGUGGGUAGCAAACAGGAUUAGAUACCCGAGUAGUC